UGAGGGAAGGAAUGAGAAGGGGGGCAGAAGAAGCACACAGGAUCCAUAUGCUAUAACGUACUUCAGGCUCCAAAUGGGCAUAAUCUGUCCCUUGAUUCCAGUCUCUCAAUACAGCCUCUAAGUCACAAAUUCAAUAGACCAAAUACAACUCAUCUUUGGAGUAGCCACUGGGAUGAAUUUAGAUCUGGCUGUAUCAGAAACAGUGUCAGAAGAAAAGCGGAUGAAAAUUGUACAAAAACUCCUUUGUACCCUGCUUCACAGACUUGUGACCAUGACUGAAUUCAUCUUCUGGAUGUUUCCUCAGAUGAGCAUGCC